UACAGAGGGUGCAAGCGUUAAUCGGAAUUACUGGGCGUAAAGCGCACGUAGGUGGCUUGAUAAGGUGGGUGUGAAAUCCCCGGGCUUAACCUGGGAAUUGCAUUCAAGACUGUCUUGCUAGAGUGUGGAAGAGGGAAGCGGAAUUCCAGGUGUAGCGGUGAAAUGCGUAGAUAUCUGGAGGAACAUCAGUGGCGAAGGCGGCUUCCUGGUCCAACACUGACACUGAGGUGCGAAAGCGUGGGGAGCAAACAGG
rnacentral:rRNA from 1 species